UAGGGAAUCUUCCACAAUGGACGCAAGUCUGAUGGAGCAACGCCGCGUGAGUGAAGAAGGCUUUCGGGUCGUAAAACUCUGUUAUUGAAGAAGAACGUGUGUGACAGUAACUGGUCAUGCAGUGACGGUAUUCAAUCAGAAAGUCACGGCUAACUACGUGCCAGCAGCCGCGGUAAUACGUAGGUGGCAAGCGUUGUCCGGAUUUAUUGGGCGUAAAGCGAGUGCAGGCGGUCUUUUAAGUCUGAUGUGAAAAGCCUUCGGCUUAACCGAAGAAAG
rnacentral:rRNA from 1 species